ACGACCGCGUUGGGAGAAUCCGGUGCCUCGACAUUGAUCGGGACGCCGGUGCCGAAGGAGCAACCGCCCCGGAAACUCUCAGGCCCAAGGACCAGCGCCGGCCG
rnacentral:ncRNA from 2 species